rnacentral:rRNA from 1 species
CUCCUACGGGAGGCAGCAGUGGGGAAUCUUGCGCAAUGGACGAAAGUCUGACGCAGCCAUGCCGCGUGAAUGAUGAAGGUCUUAGGAUUGUAAAGUUCUUUAGCCUGUGACGAUGAUGACGGUAACAGGAGAAUAAGCCCCGGCUAACUUCGUGCCAGCAGCCGCGGUAAUACGAAGGGGGCUAGCGUUGUUCGGAAUUACUGGGCGUAAAGCGCGCGUAGGCGGUUAUGCAAGCCAGAGGUGAAAUGCCUGAGCUCAACUUAGGAAUUGCCUUUGGAACUGCAUGGCUUUGAGGACGAGAGAGGUGAGUGGAAUUCCCAGUGUAGAGGUGAAAUUCGUAGAUAUUGGGAAGAACACCGGUGGCGAAGGCGGCUCACUGGCUCGUUUCUGACGCUGUAGCGCGAAAGCGUGGGGAUCAAACAGGAUUAGAUACCCUGGUAGUCCACGCUGUAAACGAUGAGUGCUAGGCGUCGGCACGCUUGCGUGUCGGUGCCGCAGCUAACGCGUGAAGC